GAGUUUGAUCCUGGCUCAGAGCGAACGCUGGCGGCAGGCUUAACACAUGCAAGUCGAGCGGAUGUAGCAAUACAUCAGCGGCAGACGGGAUAGUAACACGUGGGAACGCGCCCUUUGGUUAGGAAUAACUCAGGGAAACUUGAGCUAAUACCGGAUAAGCCCUUACGGGGAAAGAUUUAUCGCCAAAGGAACGGCCCGCGUCAGAUUAGCUAGUUGGUGAGGUAAUGGCUCACCAAGGCGACGAUCGGUAGCUGGUCUGAGAGGAUGACCAGCAUCACUGGGACUGAGACACGGCCCAGACUCCUACGGGAGGCAGCAGUGGGGAAUAUUGGACAAUGGGCGAAAGCCUGAUCCAGCCAUGCCGCGUGGAUGAUGAAGGCCCUAGGGUUGUAAAGUCCUUUUAACGGGGAAGAUAAUGACGGUACCCGUAGAAUAAGCCCCGGCUAACUUCGUGCCAGCCGCCGCGGUAAG
rnacentral:rRNA from 1 species